rnacentral:rRNA from 1 species
UACGUAGGGUGCGAGCGUCAAUCGGAAUUACUGGGCGUAAAGCGUGCGCAGGCGGUUCGUUGUGUCGGCGGUGAAAGCCCCGGGCUUAACCUGGGAAUGGCCGUUGAAACUGGCGAACUGGAGUGUGGCAGAGGGGGGUGGAAUUCCGCGUGUAGCAGUGAAAUGCGUAGAGAUGCGGAGGAACACCGAUGGCGAAGGCAGCCCCCUGGGCUAACACUGACGCUCAGGCACGAAAGCGUGGGGAGCAAACAGG